UCAUCUCUCACAGUGAACAGACUCCUGAAUAAACCUGAGAAAUGAUAUGGCAUGAGGAGAUUAGCUUUUUUCUUUUCUCUUUUCUUUUUUCAUUUCUUUUUUUUUAUUACAUUAUUUUUUUUUUGAAAAUAAACAUGCUAUGAUGCAAAUGAUGCAAACAUGACUGGUUGGCUGUGUAUCACAAGGCACAGGAUCAGAGCUUCGGCAUGAACUCGGAACC
rnacentral:lncRNA from 1 species